rnacentral:rRNA from 1 species
CGGGGGGAGCAAGCGUUGUUCGGAUUUACUGGGCGUAAAGGGCGCGUAGGCGGCCAGCGCAAGUCAGUUGUGAAAUCUCCGGGCUUAACUCGGAACGGUCAACUGAUACUGCGCGGCUAGGGUGCAGAAGGGGCAACUGGAAUUCUCGGUGUAGCGGUGAAAUGCGUAGAUAUCGAGAGGAACACCUGCGGCGAAGGCGGGUUGCUGGGCUGACACUGACGCUGAUGCGCGAAAGCCAGGGGAGCGAACGGGAUUAGAUACCCCGGUAGUCCUGGCCUUAAACGAUGGAUGCUUGGUGUCUGGAGUUUUAUAGUCUCCGGGUGCCGCAGCUAACGCGUUAAGCAUCCCGCCUGGGGAGUACGGUCGCAAGACUG